rnacentral:lncRNA from 1 species
UGGUUUACUAACAAGGCUGUUCGGGGGAGCGUAUGGUCGAUAGUGGCUGCUUUGCUUUCCACCUACUCCAUAACACCGACGGCUCCCCCUCUAAAAUAAGGGUGACUNNNNNNNNNNNNNNNNNNNNNNNNNNNNNNNNNNNNNNNNNNNNNNNNNNNNNNNNNNNNNNNNNNNNNNNNNNNNNNNNNNNNNNNNNNNNNNNNNNNNNNNNNNNNNNNNNNNNNNNNNNNNNNNNNNNNNNNNNNNNNNNNNNNNNNNNNNNNNNNNNNNNNNNNNNNNNNNNNNNNNNNNNNNNNNNNNNNNNNNNNNNNNNNNNNNNNNNNNNNNNNNNNNNNNNNNNNNNNNNNNNNNNNNNNNNNNNNNNNNNNNNNNNNNNNNNNNNNNNNNNNNNNNNNNNNNNNNNNNNNNNNNNNNNNNNNNNNNNNNNNNNNNNNNNNNNNNNNNNNNNNNNNNNNNNNNNNNNNNNNNNNNNNNNNNNNNNNNNNNNNNNNNNNNNNNNNNNNNNNNNNNNNNNNNNNNNNNNNNNNNNNNNNNNNNNNNNNNNNNNNNNNNNNNNNNNNNNNNNNNNNNNNNNNNNNNNNNNNNNNNNNNNNNNNNNNNNNNNNNNNNNNNNNNNNNNNNNNNNNNNNNNNNNNNNNNNNNNNNNNNNAAAAUGUAAAGUCCAGUCCAAUUAUUACAACCCGAAAUAAAAAUACUGAAAUAACCUACACUAGUCCUAAACCAUGCUUUACCCGAUGCCUCGGGCCUUGAUCACGAGCAUCCUUAGCGUACAAAAUUCUUCGGGGCUUUCCCCGGUUAAAUAAAUAUACUUUUCAAAUACGAUAAACAAGACAUUCAACAAAUAUUCCAAUCAUUCCAACACUACACCAAUCCUAAAAUUGCCUACCCGAGCUUACUGUUUGCCUACCCGCUCGACGACAUAUCGCAGUCAACAUCAACAAUGUAUCAAAAAUAUCAUAAUAUUCACUUUUAUCAAUUUUCGAUUCCCGUCCCCAAAUUUUAUUUCAACCAAUCGCGCCAUUAAAACUAAUCAACCUCUUUCAUCAAUACCACCGGAGUCACAUCGCCAAGCACGUGAUCAUAACAACAACAACAUCAGACAAUUACAAUCACCUAACACAUAAUCAUAGCCAUUUCAACAAAAAUAAAAUAAAGAAGAAAGUACGGGAGUAAAGAGAUGGACCUCAAGAGCUUUCGAUUGAUUUUAAUAAGAAGAAUAAGAGCCGCUUCAAGACCCUCGAUAAAUCAAAAUUCAAACUAUGAUCCAACUCCAACCCGGUAGCCUUCGAAAUUCCAUCUGAAACCCUAAAACCAAAACAAUAACAAAGUUUCCUAAAACCAGUACGAAAAUCCACGAAGAAUACCCAACAGGCCAACAUGAGACGUAAAUUCAAACGGAAUAGCGACAAGGAACCUGUUUCGGAUCAGAUUUAAGAAAAAUGAGAUCAAUAAUAUCAUUUUUUUUUUCUGAUAGACGCGUCAAAACAGUAACGGAGAAACAUUGGGUGUUCUCCGGUGGGGUUUUUGCCUGAAAAUUGAGAGGUACGUCGAGAUUUUGGGGGUUGCGGGACUGGGUGAGGUCUGGUCAGCUAAGAAAACGGUGGCUGGCUUUACUGUUUCGCCGACGGAGGGCUGGUCUGCCGGUGGUGGAGCAGCGACGGUUGGAGGCGCUGGAGGGGAGAACGAAGGAAGCUGGCGGUGGUUUGAUGGCGGUUCCGUCGAUUAGGUUCGCCGAUGGUGUCGCCGGUGGGGGAGAGAGAGAGAGGUUUUUGAGAGAGAGAGUGAAAGUCUAGAGAGAAGGAGAGAGAGAAAAAGUUUGGCGGCGCCGGCGGCGGCGCUGUUGUCGCCGAUGGGGGAGAGAGAGAGUAAGAGAGCAGCUUUUUUCUUUUUUUUUUUAUAUAUGCUCUCUAUAUGCCCUCUUUGGUUUUUGUGUGUAUGUGUGUAUAUAUUCUUUUCCAAAAAUAGAAGAAUGGUCCUUUUUCUUCCUUCUUUCCUGGAAGUUUCCCAAUGUUUAUUUCUUUUUGCUAAAGAAAAUGAGGGAUCCACGUGGAGGUAAGGGUAUGGUAGGUAGGUAGAGGGUGAUUUGUCAUUUUCUUAUUGGAGAGGGUUGUUAGGAUGUUAAAAAGAAUAAAUGUUUGCUAGGGAUUUUGUUGAGAGUUACUUUUUUUGUAUUUUUGUGUGAUGUAAUCACGUGGGUGAGGGUACAUGAUAUAAUAAGGUAAAAAUGAAUAAAAUCGAACUUUUGAGGGGGAUAAAAUUACGUGUCUACAUAAAAUAAUACAAAAUUUAAAUUAUUAUAUUUAUAUUUGACUAUUUAUAAAUUGUUAUUAUGUUUUGUUAAAUAUAAAAUUAAUUAAUUAUUAUAUUUGUUAUUAUUUUUAUUUUAUUUUAUUUAUUUAUUAUUAUUAUUACUAUUAUUUCCUAUAUUUUCUAUAUAUAUAAAAAAAAAGGGAGGAGAGAAAUCAACAGAUACUGCAACAAGAAAUCAAAAAAAAAAUCGAAGAAAACUACUGAGAAGAGGAGAGAAAAGCAUUAGAUAAAAGGGAGAAAAGAAGGAAGUAAAAUUUGAAAUAUCAUUCAAAAUUUUUGGUGACGAAUCUCAUUGUUCAGUCUAAAUUAUUCAGGUUCUUUUCAAUCUUUGUACUAUUAUUUUUUAAGUUUCAUGAUGUAUCAAAGCAUUGAUCAAAUUUUUUCAUGUAAUUUCAUGCAUAUUUUUUUUAGUGCAUGUGGUUGACUAAUUAUGCAAGUUUUAUCGUUAUUGGGAGUUGUACAACUAAGUUAUUGAAUACUUAUAUAUUUGUUUGUUGAUUUAGAGUUUAAUAUAUUCUUGUGUCGGGUCUACAUUGUGAGCUUUUUUUCUUAAAUACUAAUAUCAAAAUACUUAGAAUAAAGUGGGGGAGAAGAGUUAUGAGGGAAGAUUUAUUUUAAUCAAAAUAUACUUCUAUGUUAACUGCUGUUUGUAAUGUUUAAGAGUCUAGUAUCAUAUUAGUCUCUAAAAUUAUAUUUAAUAAAAAAAAAAGGAGUCGUGUAUUUGGCAAACCACAGUGAACUAGGUUAAGUGAAUAAGUUAGAACCUUUGUUGGUUAAGGGACUUUAAAUUAAUAUUUUGUUGGGACCUUUUCUUCCCAGUUCACGAUUUAACUCUAGUAAGGCUUAAUGGUGUUCUUUUUAGUAUUUAUUACUUCUAAGUCACUUGUUUAGUUUAAAAAGUAGUUUGAAAUAGACAUCAUCAUAUUAUAUAAAGGUUAGUCUUUAAUUUAUGGUUUACUGGAAUGUGGAAGUAGAUUUUACAAAUCACAUAAUAAUACUUGUGUGGUCGUUGGAGUCCCACAUAUGGUUUAUUUUGUUAUAUUUUAGAUCACUGCUUUAUUUUUAUUUUUAUUUUUAUUAUUUAUUUUAUUUAUUUAUUAUUAUUAUUAUUAUUGUAGUUAAUAAAACUCAAUAAAUUAUUAGUUAUGUUAAUUUAUCAUUUAAAUAAAUAGUAUAUAUAAUAAAUCUUUAUAUAUUAUAUAUAUAUAUAUAUAUAUAUAUAUAUAUAUAUUAUUUUAUUUAUUUUUGAAUAAAUUUAAUAAUUACUUAUUGAAUUAAUUAUUUUCUAUAAUUGAAUAUUGCUUUCAUUUAUUGUCAAGUUUAAAUAGUAUUUCGAAAUGAUAAAUUGUAUGAGUUUACAAAAUUAAACCAAAGUUUUAACGUUAAAUAAAUUUUAGACACGUUUAUAAUAUUCGUCUUAAUUAAGAAUGCAGCGUACGCAUCUUCUCGAGACAUUUAAAAUUUCAAGAAUGUAAUAAUACAUCUUGAUAAAUAUGUUUUUUUUUUAUAAAAUUAAAGUUUCAUCGAUUUAUUUAAUAUAAGAUAAUCGUUGAAUAUUUUUAGUAUAAUAAAAAAUGAGCGAACCUAGGCCUUAACAUAAUUUAAUAAAAUAGUUUGUCAAGAUAAGUCAAUAAAAGCGAACGUGCUAGAACCAUGGGACUCAAGGGGUGCCUCACACCUUCCCUUCGGUCAACAGAAUUCCUUACCUGUUUUCUAUUUUCGCAGACCAAAAUAAAGAGUCAUUUUCUUUUUGACUAGAGAUUUAAAAAAGUGACUUGGAACACCAUAAUUCAAUUUCAAGUGGCGACUCUAUAAAUUAAAAUAAUCCCUAUUCAAUAUCGUCACUUUAAUUGAAAAAACCUUUCGACUUCGAUCCUUGGGUGAAAAAGGGGUGUGACAUCUCUGGCGACUCCGCUGGGGACUAAUAAGAAUUCGAGUUUUUUAUAUUGACUCAUACUUGCUUUAAUUAUUGAUGAUAUUGUGUUUGUUGGCCUUAUGUGCUACUUAUCGCUUAUUUAACGGUUUGAUAUUGAUUGAAUUAUAUUAUAUAUUGUCUUCUCUUGCGCACCCUCUCUGAGUCUCUGAAAUAGGAUAGAAGGAAUGCAGCAUAUGCAUCCUACUUUCUUUUUGAGAUAGCCAGAGUGUCAAGGCACCUGGUGAAGGAUAUAGUCACACGUGUUAGGUGGGGUUCAGAUUGACAACGAAGGUGGUGUUGCCCUGCUACCGACCAAGUUGUCCCUCCCCGGCUCGAGUGUCCGCUCGGGUAAGUCAGUCUAGACACCUAUCCCUAUUAGGCUUAAACUUAGAAUAACUGAAAACUCAGAAUCUGGUUAUCCCUAUUAGGUGCCGCUUUAUUUGUAUCAUAUGCAUUUGACUUAGCGGGACUCGGUACAGGGGCCGGGCCUAUCUAGGACCGGUAACCUACUUUAUAAAGACCAACAUGUGCAACCUACGUGCUCUUUGACAUUUGUUUGGAAGGCUAUUUGUGUGUUGACCGGCUUUUAGGCAACAUUACAAUGCAAGAGAUUAAAUUAUCGUCACAUUUAGUGAAUUAUUUUGAAAGAAAAAUUGUAUUUUUAAAAGAGAAAAUUUUCAGUAACAUAGUUUUAUGAUUUUUAUGAACUACAAGGGUCUAAUUUUCAUUCUUUUGUGAGAUACGUAAGAAAUCCUGCUCGAAAUACGACCCUAUAUUUUGAAAAAAUAAUAAUAAUAAUAUAUAUAUAUAUAUGUAUAUAUUCAGAAAUUUACUUAAGGAUAUUUUUGAAAGAUAAUAAAAUUAAAUUAAAAAUUAAUCAUUUUCAUGAACAUUUUUAUUUUUAUUUUAUCCUUAGAAUUAAUUUUAAUACAAAUAUUAAUAACCUGAACCUUUUGGGGUCGUGAGCUGAAUUUUUUUUAUAAAGUAAUAAAAUAUAUAAACGUAUAUCUUAACAGUCCUGAACCUUUAGGGGUCGUGAAACCGAAAUUUUUAUAUAACUUCAUACAUAAAACAAUCAUUCUUUUUUUUCUAUGUCAUUCUAUUUUAUUUUAUUUUCUUUUUGUUCCUUUUAAGUGUACUUAGGGGGCAUUGUCUCCAAAUAUAUAGUUAAAAUUGUCUAGAGGUCUGUUAUUGCAAAGUUUUUGAUAAAGUCUAUUUAAAUAAGUAUUUUUUCCUAAAAAUAUUUUCAGUCAUGUUUUUCUCAUUUUGAUUUUGAUAAAAUUGUUCUUUGCAACUAAGUAAUGGUCGCACUAGGUCUCAUGAGUCAAGUUAAGAAUUCUGUUCAAAAAUUAAUGAAUUAAGUCUUGCCUAAGUUUAGACAUUUAUUAAUCUCAUGUCCUUGUCAAUAGGUAUAAAAUGUCUCCUCCUGUUUGUGGAAAGCGUCCAAAGAGAAAGAGGGAUGGGAGUAUACUGCUUCAGGUUGUGGAUUGUACCCCUUUGCAGCUUUGUUUGUGGUGGAACGAAAUGGAUACAUUCGAUUAUGAAGAGAUACAUAAGUUUUUAGGUUUUUUGACGAGUAUUAUGUCAAUCAAGCCUAAUAGGGAGAUGAUUGAUGCAUUACUAACCUUUUGGGACCCGAAGAACAAUGUGUUUCACUUUUUGGAUUUUGAGUUGACUCCGACUGUAGAGGAGAUAGCAGCCUAUGUUGGAUAUGGGGAUAUGCAUCGGAAGAAACUUAUAGCCUCAAGACUCAUUUUGAUAAACAGAUUCUGCAAGCUCAUGAGCAUACAAAACUCAAAUGUCUCCUCCUGUUUGUGGAAAGCGUCCAAAGAGAAAGAGGGAUGGGAGUAUACCGCUUCAGGUUGUGGAUUGUACCCCUUUGCAGCUUUGUUUGUGGUGGAACGAAAUGGAUACAUUCGAUUAUGAAGAGAUACAUAAGUUUUUAGGUUUUUUGACGAGUAUUAUGUCAAUCAAGCCUAAUAGGGAGAUGAUUGAUGCAUUACUAACCUUUUGGGACCCGAAGAACAAUGUGUUUCACUUUUUGGAUUUUGAGUUGACUCCGACUGUAGAGGAGAUAGCAGCCUAUGUUGGAUAUGGGGAUAUGCAUCGGAAGAAACUUAUAGCCCCAAGACUCAUUUUGAUAAACAGAUUCUGCAAGCUCAUGAGCAUACAAAACUCAAAAGAAGGAUCAAUGAAAAAAGGUUGGGUUUCCUUGCAAUUUUUGUAUGACAGAUAUGGAAGGCAAGAGGGGUUUGAAAAGUACGGUAAACAUCUUUGUAAUAAGGGAAGUUUUGAGGCUUGGAAAGUUCAUAGAUGAUUUGAAUUCAUGGUAGCCUUUCUAGGCACUAUGGUUUUCCCUAGGAGAGAAGAAAAAAUUAAUAUUCGUUUAGCGGGGGUGGUACAUAUACUGAUUAAGAAAGAUUACACUAUGGUACCAAUGAUCCUGGCAGAUAUCUAUCGUGAUUUGACCAUUUUUCAGAAAGGAAAGAGUUUUUUGGAGGGAUGUAAUAUGUUGUUAUAGAUGUGGAUUGUGGAGCAUCUCUAUCGACAUCCUAUAAUGGCAAGAUUUAAUUCGGAAAGAUUCAAUCGCAUCAAAGAUUACGAAGAGAGGUUAGAGAAAUAUAUAUGCCCAGAAGGAGUUAGAGAUUGGGAUAAGCUUUUUCGUUCUCUGACAACAGAUAAAAUCACUUGGAAUCUCCCUUGGUUCCCUUGGAGGCAAGUCAUACAUAGUUCUGUCAUUCGGCCGUUCUUGUUAUUAAUGGGUAUUAGGGGUGUUCAACCAUAAGUUCCAUUGAGAGUUCUACGCCAGCUAGGAAGACAUCAAAUAAUUCCUAUAAUAGAAAAUAUGACCGAGUUUGUAUUUGAGGUCAGACCAGAAAUCCCACUUCAGAAGGAAUUGGCCCAGCAGAUUUGGGAGGGUUGUCGUGUCAUGGGGAAUGAAAUAAUGGUCAUAGAGCGUGAGAAAGGAGAAGUGCACCCAGAUUACCGUAAAUGGUUUGAAGAACAGUCGAGUCCGCCAGUCAGACCAGAAAGAUAGGUUAGGGGACCUAUAGAUCAGGAAACUGCAAUCAGGAUAGGAAUUGAGAGAGCCAUGCGAGACAUCAUGAGGCCAACCAAGCUUUGAGAGCAUAAUUAUAGCAUGCCAGGGCAAAAAUAGAUGAACAACAAAGGAAAUUUGUUGAAGAGAAAGCUAAAUCAGCAGAUAUUGAGGUUGCACUUUGGGGACAAAUCAAACUGGCUACCACUAGGGGUCACACGUUGAAGAACUUGCCGCAUCUCGCCGACAACAACUUCAAGAAGUUGAAAAGAAUAUACAAGAAGAAUUUGAUCAAGAGAGAUCUCAGUGGAUCCGUGAAAGAGAAAUAUUGCGAGAACAGUUGGAGGUUGCUUCUGCUCGUGAAAAGUGUGCAAGAGAGAUAGUUGAUUUCUGAGAUCGACAAGCCUAUGAAUGGGAUCAGGCCUUCAGUUCCCUUCAAGGGAAGGUCCACCGUUUAGCACAGGAUACUACCAGAAUGAGUUUGGAUUAUCAGCAGUUGUAUCAUGAAGACUUUUUGGCACAAGUACCAACUUUCGCACAGUGUCUCACUUCUUCAUUGGAGAAAAUAUACUUAGGUUUAGGAGGACAUAUCAAGCCGAAGUCUCCUUCAAUGGAUAGUUGUUCUUUUUGUCAUAGUUUUUCAUUUUCAGUUUUAAAACUUCUUGUUUAGAUGUUAUGUCUUUUAGUUUUCAGGUGUCAGUUAGUAGGUUUUAUUUUAGGAGUUGGGUCAGUUAUUUUGUCGUAUUUAUAUUAUGGAAUGUAAUGAAUUUGACCAUUUAUUUCUAUAUAUAUUACAUAUAUUUUACUCCAUUUACUUUAUUCAUUUUCUUCAAUAAAAAAAACGACAAAACAAUCAUUUUGUUAAAUUUCUCCCGAACUAGGCAAGAUCUGAUUCAUGUCCUGGCCUGAUACAUAGGCAACCCUCCAAAGGGUUCGAUCAUAACUUUUGAAAAAUACACGCGUAGAAAAGCCGGGAUGAAACAUAAAGCCUUCCAUGAUAGGUUGGAAAAUGCAUAUAGAAGCAUGACAUAUAACUUGGCAUUAUAAUGUGUUAAAAAUAUGUCACUCACUCGUUUGCUACUUGGUUACUGAAAGAUAAAGUAAUUGGUGGUUGGUUUGUGGUUUAAACUGGCAUCACAUCCGUAUAACACCAGAUACAAGGGUAAAAGAAAAAUGACUUGCAGAGAAGGUAUAGGGUUUGACAGUGAAGAAGAGCAAAAUCAAUUGAUUUCGUAGGAAGUAGCAUCAAUGGAAGAAAUAAAGUCAUUGAAUCAACAUAUAGUAGAGAUGUACCAGGCUUGGUUUAAUGGACAAGCCCCGCCUUCUUCAAUCCCUGGACUUUCGACUUUGAAUUAUCCAAAUUUUGACCCAGCUCAAAGUAGUGAUCCAUUUUACCCACCAGGAUUUGGCCCAUUUGCUAAUACGUCUAGAGUUGCUGGUACUUCUACCAUGCACCCACCAAAUUCGUUUGUCACAAAUAACCCACUUUUUACUUCUGUAGCAGCAGCUACUGUGGGUACUCAACCGACAGUAUCCAAGAAUAUGGAGAAACCAAGUCAUGAUAUGUUGUAUUCUCCUGAAAUGACUUUCAAAUCCCAAAAUCCACAUUAUCAUGUUCAUCAGCACGAUACUCCUAUUGUGGUUGAUUAGAUUACUAAGAAUGAGGAACAGGAAAAGAUGGCUAGAAAAGUUAGAAGCCUGGAGCAAAGUAUGAGAAAUAUGCAAGGAUUAGGUGGACAAAAAAGUGUUUUAUACAAGGAUUUGUGUAUGUUUCCUGAUGUCCAUUUGCCGAUAGUGUUUAAAAUGCCAAAUUUUGACAAAUACAAAGGACACGGCGAUCCUGUAGCUCAAUUGAAAAAGUUUUGCAAUCAAUUAAGGGGAGCAGGAGGAAAAGAAGAAUUAUUGAUGGCUUACUUUGGAGAAAGCCUUACAGGGAUAGCUUUUGAAUAGUUCAUUGACCAAGACAUUUCCCGUUCGCAUGUAUAGGAUGACAUGGCUCGAGAUUUUGUUUAGCAAUUUUAAUAUAACAUUGAGAUAGUGCCAGAUCGCACUACGCUUGCCAACAGAAGAAAAAAGAUAACUGAAAGUUUCUGAGAAUAUGCUAUCAGAUGGAGAGAGCAAGCUUCAAGAUUCAUACCAUCAAUAAAGGAAUCUGAAAUGAUUGAUAUCUUUCUGCAAGAACAAGAACCCAAUUAUGUCCAUCACCUACUUUCUACAAUUGGAAGCAUAUUUGCUGAAGUUAUUAAAGUUGGAGAAAUGGUAGAGAAUGGAAUAAAAUUAGGAAAGAUCAUCAGCCAGGCCACUUUGAAAGCAACAACACAGGCAAUUCAAAGUGGUGCAGGAAGUUUCGGGGGAAAUAAAAGAAAAAAGGAUGUAGCAGCUAUCGUACCAAGUCCACGGCAAAAUUGGAGAGGUGCGCAUCAACCAUAUGCAUGAAAUCCAUUAUAUUUCGUUCCAUCCCCCCAAAUCCUAUUUGCAAUGCACAACCAUAUGCUUGGGCUCCUUCUUACCCGCAAUGGCGUGCACUAGCCAUCAAAAUCAUCCACCGAUCCCACAAAUUCAAAGAGGCCCUCCUAGGUCUAAAUUUUGACCUAGAGCAGACUAAAAAAGGGAUAUCAUAGGUAAAGAUAAUUUCACUCCUAUUGGAAUAUCUUACACCAGUUUAUUUCAUAGGCUGAGGAAAAUGAAUGUUCUAAACCCAAUUGAGAGAAGGAUCUCAAAUUCUCCUCUGAAGAACUUGGACUAUUCUAGAAGAUGUGAAUACUGUUUUGAUGCCCCAGGGCACGACACAGAGAAAUGUUGGUAGCUGAAAAGAGUUAUUUGAGAGCUGAUUAAUACCCAACAGAUUAUGAUAGAAAGUCCAGACACUCCAAAUGUCAAUCAAAAUCCACUGCCAGAUCAUAAUGAAACAAAUAUGCUCAAAGUGAUACCCAAUGAUGAAGAUGCUACAAUAUCCUUCAAGCCGAUCAUUAAAAUUAAAACCGAUUCAAAAAAAUCACCAAAUGCUGUAGAUUUGACAAAAGAAAAACCUGCAGAAGUGGAUGUGGUGAUAAAAAAACUCGAAUUAUUGAAUGUCCCCUUGGUGGUGGGGAAAGAGAUUUCAAAAAAUGUUGGGUCAAGACAAGUAAAACCAAAGCUCAUUAUUCUUGGAAGAUCUCCCAAGCCUCUCUUAAUCAUAAAAAAAGCUCCCAUAGCUCCCAUUGUUAUUAAACCAGUGUCACAGUGGCCUAUGGUUAAUACCAAGGUAGUCCCUUGAAACUAUGAUCGUGUUAUGGUAAUGCACAAGGGGAAAGAAGUGAUUAAAGAUGUGGAAGAAGUUGGGAAAUUAACUCAAUCUGGAAGAUGUUAUGCUCCAGUAGAGUUAAGAAAGAAUAAACAAGGCAAAGAAGAAUGAAUGGCGUUUAAGAAGCCUGUUACUGAUGAAGAAGCUGAAAAAUUCUUAAAGAAAAUGAAAUCGCCAGAAUAUUCUAUUGUAUAAUAGUUGAAGAAGACACCAGCACCGAUUUCUUUAUUGUCUUUAUUAAUACAUUCAGAAGAACACCGUAAGGCUAUAAUAAAGAUUCUUGACGAAGCAUGUGUUUCCAGUGAGAUUAAAGUGAAUCAACUGAAAAAAAUUAUUGAAAGGAUACUUGAAGCAAAUAAGAUUACUUUUUCAGAAAAUAAGGGUCUCUAUAUUACUGUGCAAUAUGAGCAUUCCAUCGUCACUCGAGUGUUAAUUGAUGUAGGAUCAGGCGCUAAUAUUUGUCCUAUGUCAACUUUGCAAAAGUUGAAUGUUAAUGUAGAAAGAAUCCGACCUAACAAUGUAUGCGUCAAAGGUUUUGACGGAUCAAAAACUGAUGCCAUUGGUGAAAUAGAAUUCAUAUUGACAAUCGGGCCUGUAGGUUUUGCUAUGGAUUUUAAAGUGCUGAACAUUGAUGCUUCAUCUAAUAUGUUAUUGGGAAGGCCAUGGAUUCAUAAGGCUAAAGCAGUAACAUCAACAUUGCAUCAAAUGGUCAAAUUCGAAUAUGACAGGCAAGAGAUAGUUGUUCAUGGUGAAGGAGACUUAUCCAUGUAUAAAGACUACUCUGUUUCCUCUAUCAAAGUAGAUACUGCAAAUGGAGUAUUGAUUCAUCAAACUUUUGAGGUAGUGGCUGUUGAGCAUAUCCUCGAGGGGAAUCUCACGCAAGGCCACAAUUAUCCUCUGCACUAUUAUGGUAGUGAAUGAAAUAUUGAAGCAUGAUUUUGAACCAGGGAAAGGACUAGGGAUGUUUUUGCAAGGCAGAGUUCAUCCAGUAAACCUCCAUGAGAACGUUGGUACUUUUGGUUUGGGAUACAUGCCCACUGAUGAAGAUAUAAAGAAGGUUAAAAAACAUAAUAAAGAUUCAUGGACACUUACCAAGACGAUACCGCUACUUUACAAAUCCUUCAUCAAAGUCAACAUUGUUGGGUCCUCUAUGUUACCUGCUGCGGAGUCAGUAAAUGAUGAUGGUACAGAGUUGAUUGGCCUUUUCUAGAAUAUGUUCAUUGAAACUGAUAUAGUUGAAAGUGGGAAAGCUACCAGCAAUGCAGAUGUGCAGUUUAUCGGCCCUGAUGUCCAGCUUAAUAAUUGGGAGGCCACUCCUCUCCCUAUUGUGAAGGAAUCUUCGUAGUUUGUUUGUUUUCUUUCAAUCUUAGUAGUUUGUUUCUUUCUACUUCUAUAAUUUGAAUCGUUCUGGUAUUGUAAUUUCGAUCUUUAACUUGGUAUUUUAGGUUAAAACUCUUUAUAUCUUUGUUUUUAAUAAAAGUGUCGUCUCCCUUUAUUUUAUUUUGAGUCUGAUGUUUAUUUAUUUAUUUUUCUAUCAUAUAGUUUUUUCUAUGCUGAUUCUAAUGAUAUGACAUGCAUGAAUAAUUGUCAACCAGAUUUAAAAACUCAAUCUAAUUAUGAAAUAAUGAAUAAAGAAGUUGAAUACGAUGAAGGAGAAACAUUUGAGGAUAUAAGAAAAGAUUUCAAACAGUUUGAGAAUAAGACAAAUCCCAAUUUGGAAGAAAUUGAGGCGAUUCAUUUAGGAGAUCAUGAAAAUAUUAGGGAGACUAAGAUAAGUGUAAAUGCUCAACCACAACAAAAUAAAGCUAUAAUUGAAGCUUUGCCUGAGUAUAAAGACAUCUUUGCGUGGUCUUAUGAUGAUAUGCCUGGUUUGAGCACUGAUUUGAUAGUUCACAAGUUACCAAUUGAUCCUGUUUUUUCUCCGGUAAAACAAAAGUUAAGGAAGCUUAAAAUUGACAUGAGUGUAAAAAUCAAAGAGAAAAUCACGAAGAAACUUAAGGUUAAAGUCAUUCGAGUGGCCCAAUAUCCUACUUGGUUGGCAAAUAUUGUCCCUGUUCCAAAGAAGGCCGGCAAAGUUCGGAUGUAUGUUGAUUAUCGUGAUCUAAAUAAAGCAAGUUCAAAAGAUAAUUUUUCACCUCCCAAUAUCCAUAUUUUGUUAGACAAUUGUGCCAAACAUGAUCUUGCUUCUUUUGUGGAUUGUUAUACGGGGUAUCACCAGAUCAUUAUGGAUCCAGAAGAUGUGGAAAAGACACCAUUUAUUACGCCAUGGGGGACAUAUUGUUAUCAAGUUAUGCCUUUCGGACUAAAGAAUGCUGGGAAAACUUACUUGAGGGAAAUGACCACAAUGUUUCAUGAUAUGGUGCACAAAUAGAUUGAAGUUUAUGUGGAUGACGUGAUCAUUAAGUCAAGAGAGCAGUCUGACCAUGUCAAAGAUCUCAUAAAAUUCUUUGAAAGGCUUCGAAGAUAUGAUCUCAAACUUAACCCGGCGAAAUGUGUAUUUGGAGUUUCGUCAGGAAAACUCUUGGGGUUAAUAGUCAGUCGACGUGGCAUUAAGUUAGAUCCUUCAAAAAUAAAAGCUAUUCAAGAUUUGCCUCCACAAAAAAAUAAAAUAGAGGUGAUGAGCUUACUUGGAAGGUUGAAUUAUAUCAAUAGAUUCAUUGCUCAACUUACGACAACUUGCAAGCCAAUAUUCAAGUUGUUGAAGAAGAAUGCUAAAGUUGAAUGGACUAAAGAAUGUCAAGAGGCAUUUGACAGAAUUAAGAGAUACUUGUCGAAUCCGCCUAUUUUGGUUCCUCCAGAGCGAGGCAGACCCUUGAUAUUGUAUAUUUUUAUGUUAGUCAAUUCUUUUGGCUGUGUAUUGGGUCAGCAUGAUGUUACAGGCAGAAAAGAACAGGUCAUAUACUACCUUAGCAAAAAGUUUACCACUUAUUAGGCUAAGUACACUCUUCUUGAGAAGACGUAUUGCACCUUAACUUGGGUAACCCAAAAGCUGAAACAUUACUUGUCAUCUUAUACUACUUACCUCAUAUCUCGUAUGGAUCCUUUAAAGUAUAUUUUUCAAAAGCCUAUGCCCACAGGCAAACUCGCAAAAUAGAAAAUAUUACUCACAGAGUUUGAUAUUGUCUACGUGAUACUAACUGCAAUGAAAGCUCAAGCCUUGGCAGAUUAUUUGGCUGAAAAUCCUAUUGACGAGGGAUAUGAGUCAUUAAAAACUUAUUUUCCAGUUGAAUAGGUAUUGUUUAUUGAUGAGGUUAUUUCUGACGAUUGUCAUUCAGGCUGGAAGUUGUUCUUUGAUGGAGCUGCUAAUGUAAAAAGAGUAGGGAUAAGGGCGGUUCUUAUUUCUGAAUCAGGACAAUAUUAUCCUAUAACAACCCAACUUCGAUUCUACUGUACCAAUAAUUUGGCAGAAUACGAAGCUUGCAUUCUGGGAUUAAGAUUAGCCAUUGACAUGGGGGUCCAAGAACUGUUGGUAUUAGGAGAUUCAGAUUUAUUAGUCCACCAAAUUCAAGGAGAUUGAGAGACUCGUGAUUUAAAGCUCCUACCAUAUCAAGGUUGUUCGUAAGAUCUAUGUCAACGAUUUGUAUCAGUAAAAUUAAAACAUAUUCCCAGAGCUCAUAAUGAGAUUGUCGAUGCUUUGGCAACCUUAUCUUUGAUGCUUCAACAUCCCGACAAAACUUAUGUUGACCCUUUGCAUAUACAGAUUCAUGAUCAACAUGCAUAUUGUAAUAGGGUUGAGGAAGAACUUGAUGAGGAGCCGUAUUUCCAUGAUAUCAAAGAAUAUAUUCAGAUUGAAAAAUAUCCUAUAUAUGCCGAUGGUAACUAAAAGAGAACCAUUCAAUAUUUUUCUGGUGGAAUUUUCCUAAGUGGAGAAAUCUUGUAUGAGAGGACUCCUGAUUUGGGACUUCUGAGGUGUGUAGAUGCUGAAGAAGCUUUAAAAAUCAUGACUGAAGUACAUUCUGGUAUUUGUGGACCACACAUGAAUGGGUAUGUUUUGGCAAAGAAAAUACUCCGAGCAGGUUAUUAUUGGCUCACUAUAGAGCGUGAUUCCAUCAAUUUCGUUCAUAAAUAUCAUGAAUGUUAGGUACACGGGGAGUUGAUACAUUCCCCUCCAUCUGAGUUGCAUACAAUGACUGCUCUAUGGCCUUUUUAUGGCUUGGGGAAUGGACGUAAUUGGACCAAUUAAACCAAAAUGCCUCAAAUAGACAUAGGUUCAUCCUGAUAGCCAUUGAUUAUUUCACAAAGUGGGUGGAAGCAGCGACUUUCAAAUUAGUGACCAAGAAAGAAGUGGUUGAUUUUAUUCACUCCAACAUUAUUUGCCGGUUUGGCAUUCCAAAGAUAAUUAUCACGGAUAAUGCUGCAAAUCUCAACAGUCAUUUGAUGCAAGAAGUGUGUCAACAAUUUAAGAUUAUGCAUCGAAGUUCAACUCCUUAUCGUCCAAAGGCGAACGGAGCUUUAGAAGCUGCCAACAACAACUUAAAGAAAAUACUCUGUAAGAUGGUGCAGGGUUCCCGACAAUGGCAUAAAAAGUUACCUUUUUCUUGGUUGGGUUAUCGUACAACAGUUCAGACUUCAAUUGAUGCAACUCCUUACUUGUUGGUGUACGGAACUGAAGUAGUUAUACCUGCGAAGAUUGAAAUUCCAUCUCUUCGAGUAGUUGUAGAAGCUGAAAUUGAUGAUGACCAAUGGGUCAAGAAUCGUUUGGAGCAAUUAAGCUUGAUUGAUGAGAAAAUAUUAACAUCAUAUGUCAUGGACAACUAUAUCAGAAGAAAAUGGCACGAGAAUAUAAUAAAAAGUGCGUCAUAGACAUUUUGAAGUUGGUCAGUUAGUACUAAAACGCAUCCUACCCUAUCAUAUUGAAGCCAAAGACAAAUUUUCUCCUAAUUGGCAUGGACCAUUCAUGGUGAAGAAAGUGUUACCUAAUGGCGCAUUAUAUUUGACUGACAUAGAAGGCCAAAUAGAAGGAAUGUCGGUCAAUGUUGAUGUAGUUAAAAGAUAUUAUGUAUGAUAUUCAUGUACAAUUACAUUAUGUAUAUUUUGUAGUUGCAUUUUAAAAAGAUUGAAAUAAUGAAGGCAUUUUUUUCUACUAUCCGAAUAAUAUAUCAACCUUUGCUUACCCCUUUUGAGCUUUUAUCUUUCUUCGUACCCCUCUUUUGGAAUCAAAUUAAAGUGAAAAAAAGUUGAAAAAAAAAAAUUAAUCAAAAAUUCAAAAUCAAGCAAAAGAAUGACGAGCCUGAACUACGUUUGACCUGAUUCUUGCUAUGACAAGAUACGUAGGCAGCCCUACUCCGGGGUUCGGUCCAACCAAAAGGAAAUUCAAAUUAUCCAGAACGAAAGAAAACUGGGCAAAAGUUUAUUUUUUUAAAAGAAUCGAUUCCAAAAGUUGAAUGUUUUACCCAAUGUUGUGUAAAUUUUGAGCCUCAUGCCGACCUUUCUUUCUAGCCCUAUCCAAAAGUCAAGUUACAACCAAAGUAAGAUCUUCAGAUCAAUCUUUGAAAAUGUCAAGGCUAAACAUGUUAUGGGUGCAUGAUAUUUCAUAUUUUGGGUGUUUAUUUAAAAAAAAGAAUGAAAAAGAGAGCGUCUUAUUGGUGAAAACCUUGUUGGACACCAUAAUGCAACUGUAAGCUGAGAAAGAAGUAAAAAUGAGAUAGGUUCGUUGGAAAAACCCAUUGAGGUGACACUACCCGAAGGAGAGUUGUUAUCCAGAAGGAAUAAGUUCAAGAUUGGCUAAAUUUCAAGUUCAAUAAAUGGAUAAAAGUUGUAAUGAUUGGUGUGGGUAGAUCUGGUUGUUUGAUUCAAAAUGCAUGUCAUAAUCACAAGAAUCGGUUUCCACAUUCGGAUAAGUUUUAUUUUUUGUUUUUUGAAAAAGAGAUGCCUAUUGUCUUUUCCUUUUGAUUUAUUUUUAUUUUUGGUUUUUGUGUCCUUUUCAUCAAACGAAAAAUUUUUGUUGUCUUUUAUCCAUUUUUGAGUCAAAUUCACGUCAGGUCAAAUGAGAAAGUACUUCAAACUUGCUACUAACUUCUUCAAUAGUACAAAGCAAGACAAAGGGUCGACGCACAAGGACAACAUUUCAAUGUAUAAAGUACUCAGAAUAAUUAUGAUUUGACAAUUUUUGACUCAUGGAAAGAUAAAAGGUGUAGGAAAAGUUAAACCCUGAGGUAUUAUACAAGAGAAAUAUAUUUUGAGCUAAAAGUCUCAGUAGUCAGAAUUUUGGGUCAAAAGUAUGACAAGUCAAUGGAUAUAUAUCAAGGAUUGGAAAAGAGUUGAGCAUGACAAGUGCAAGAAUGGUCAUUUCAAGACCCGAAUACCACAAACCAACCACCAUGUGUUAAAACUCACUAUUUUUCUUUGUUUUAUUUGAAACAGAGAUAAAAAGUUUUCAAAUAAAGAAUACAAUCUCACACUUCUAUCAAUGCAAGAAUCAUGAUUACAACAUACGAUGUUGGAUCUCGGACUCUCCUGAAGAAUGGAAAUUUAUUUUAAUGCUCAGGGCUCUCCUAAAGAAUGGGAUGUUUUUUUUUUGUUUCACUAUUUACUUUGAGUCCAGGAUCCCGCCUGAAGAACAGAGUGAAGAAAUUGUAAGUCCAGGAGUCUGCUUGAAGAACAGGGUGAAGAAAAAAGAAAUCCAGGAGCCCGCCUGAAGAACAUGGUGAAGAAAUUGUAAGUCCAGGAGCCCGCCUGGAGAACAGGGUGAAGAAAUUACAGGUCCAGGAGCCCUCCUGAAGAACAGGGUGAAGAAAAAGGAAAUCCAGGAGCCCGUCUGAAGAACAGGGUGAAGAAAUUGUAAGUCCAGGAGCCGAUCUGAAGAACAGGGUGAAGAAAUUUUAAUUCUAGGAGCCCGCUUGAAGAACAGGGUGAAGAAAUUGUAAGUUCAGGAGCCCUCCUGAAGAAUAGGGUGAAAAAGAAGGAAGUCUAGAAGCCCGCCUGAAGAACAGGGUGAAUGAAAUAACAAGUCAGGAGCCCGCCUAAAUAAUAGGGUGAAUUUUCAAGUUCAAGUCAUAAAGAUUUGAAUUAAGAUUCUAGAGAUUGCAAUUUUUAUUUUUGUAGUCAUUUGAAUGUAAAAGACAAAAUUCGUGAACCGGAAACUCGACGGAAUCUCACUCGACAUUAAUUUUUUCUCUCACCAAAUUACCUUUGAACUACUCAUGACCUGAUUCCCUUAUAACCCGGGAUAGGUAGGAUGUCCAAAAAUAGGACUCGAUCAUAUUUUUCUUUUUCUUUUUAUUUUUUAUUUUACCUUUCAAAUAAUUGGAGGGUCAAAAAUCAUAUCUUGUCUUCUUCUUUUUAUGAAAACUCUUCGAGAUUUCACACAAAAAGGGGCAAAAAUGUAGACACGUGAUUUUUGAUCCUCCCUAAAUUUUAACUUGUUUAUCGAUAUUAAAUAUUUAUAUUUAUAUUUAAUCAUAUUUUAUUUUGAUUAUUAUUUUUAUUUGUAAUAAUUUUUUUUCAAAAAAUAAUAAUAAAUAAUUAAAUGAAGUUAAUUUUAAGAUAUUUUAUUUUUAUUUUAUUUUAUUUUAUUUUAUUUUUAUAUUUAUUUUUAUUUAUUUUCUAAUUUGUAAAAUAAUACAAAAUUAAAAAAAAUUAUUUUAUAAAUUUUUAAUAAAUAAAUUAAUAUUUUUAAUAUUAUUUUAUUUAUAUUUGACUAUUUAUAAAUUAUUAUUAUAUUUUAUUAAAUAUAAAAUUAAUUAAUUAUUAUAUUUGUUAUUAUUAUUUUAUUUAUUCAUUUUUAUUUUAUUUCAUUUAUUUAUUAUUAUUAUUACUAUUAUUUUCUAUAUUUUCUAUAUAUAUAAAAAAAAAGGGAGGAGCAUUAGUUUUUAAAUUUUAAUAUCCCUUUCCCCCUAUCAGAUAAUAACCAUUCCCCUCCAAAAAAGAUAACUACUCCCUCCCUAUGUACUUUACAAUAAACAUCAUCAGAUACUGCAAUAAGAAAUCAAAAAAAAAAAAUCUAAGAAAACUACUGAGAAGAGAAGAGAAAAACAUCAGACAAAAGGGAGAAAAGAAGGAAGUGAAAGUUGAAAUUCCAUUCAAAAUUUUCAGUGACGAAUCUCAUUGUUCAGUCUAAAUUAUUCAGGUCCUUGCUCAAUCUUUGUACUAUUAUUUUAUAAGUUUCAUGAUGUAUCAAAGCAUUGAUCAAAUUUGUUCAUGUAAUUUCAUGCAUAUUUUUUUUAGUGCAUGUGGUUGACUAAUUAUGCAAGUUUUAUCGUUACUGGGAGUUGUACGACUAAGUUAUAGAAUACUUAUAUAUUUUUUUGUUGAUUUAGAGUUUAAUAUAUUCUUGUGUCGGAUCUACAUUGUAAGUUUUUUUCUUAAAUACUAACAUCAAAAUACUUAGAAUAAAGUGGGGGAGAAGAGUCAUGAGGGAGGAUUUAUUUUAAUCAAAAUAUACUUCUAUGUUAGCUGUUGUUUGUAAUGUUUAAGAGUCUAGUAUCAUAUUACUCUCUAAAAUAAUAUUUAACAAAAAAAAAAGGAGUGUCACACCCCUUUCUCAACAUCCAAAAAAUUAAUUUUUAAGUUCGAAAGGGUUUUAUUAUUAAGUGACAAAAAUGAAAAUUCUGUUCCGAAAAGGAUUUUUUAUAAUUACAUUCAGAGUCGCCAGUUGGCAUAAUCCGGUGUGCCAAGUCACCUUUGGAAAAUUCUUUUCGAAAUGGUUUGACUCUUUAAAACUGGUUUGCGAACAAAUAUUCCGGCUAAGGAAUUCUGUUGACAGAGGGGAAGAUGUUAGGCACACCUCGAUCUCGUGGUUUGACCAUGGUCGCUUGGCGGAGCGUAUAGGCUAAUUUGACAUUAUGAAUAUAUAAACCAAACAAAACAUGUAAAACAAUCAAUCAAGCAAACAAGAUAAAACAAUCUAAAAUUUAGUGUCCAGUCCAAUUAUACAGUCCAAAAAUAAAAAAUGUGUAAAAAUAAAUCCUACUCUAAAUGUAUUCUAGACUAAUGCUCUACCCGACGCCUCGGGCCUUCAUCACGAACGUCCUCCGGGUACAUGAUACCUCGGGGCAUUCCCCGGUGAAUAAAUAUAUACAGAUACUUCGGGGCAUUCCCCGGCCAAAUUAUACAAUUGAUUCAAAAGUGAUAAAAUCAAACCAUUCAAUCAAAUUUCAAACAUUCAAUCAACCCACAAUCUCUAGAUUUUGCCUACCCGACCUACGUCUUGCCUAUUCCAAUCGGCGUAUCUUGAUACUACCAAAUUCAAUUAAUGUUUAUUUCAAGUCAAACAACUAAUGAAUCAAACUAAUCAAAAUUCACUAAUUAUAUCAAGUUUUCAAUUCUCGCCCCACUUAUUCCAUUUUUAUACCAAAUUCCAACGAUUCAAGACGGUUAUCUCAACAAUCCACAACCAUCUAUUCAAUGAAAUCAAACACCAAAUUAAUGUCACCAAAAUUCAACCACACAUCAGGCAAAUCAAAUAUGUAUGUAAAGUAAAAUUAGAAGAGAUAGAGUUGGACCUUGAAUGGACUUUUAUUUGUUGGAUUGUGUGAUUAGAAAAUGGAGCCGGAUUCAAAAUGUCCCGAUUGAACCUCAAACAAAAACCCCCAACUCGAUAUCCACUUCGAACUCGUAGUCCGAUUGAAAACCCAAUUUCCAAACAGAAAUGAAGAGGAAAUAUCAAACCGGCGUCAGUCUUGUAAAGAAAUGAGAGGUACCUGUACUGAAUUCCAAAGGAGCCAACCCAUAUAGAAAUCCCUAGAACCAAUGCUAAUUUCGGUGUUUUUAGGGGGCUUAAACCGAUCCGAUUGACGAACAAAAACCAAUUCCGAUGACCCCCUAACAAAUCUUGACCGAAUUUACCCCAAAAAAUCAGAGAAAAACAAUGAGUUUUGGGCAAUUUCAUGAUGGGAACAAUCAGACGAUAAAAGAGAAACCAGUUUCGGUGAGCUCGAGGCCAAAUCCGGUGAGCUUAGACUGAGCAACGACAAACACGGGUCACUUCCAGUGAGAUUUUGCCAGAUAAUAUCCAGAAACUGACCAAACCUUGUUCAAACUCUCUUCAUCCUCUCAAUCUACCCUUACUAUACUCUACUCUCUCUCUUCAUCGCCCUCUCUUGAUCUACUCUCUUCUCGUCAUCUCAUUGUGUUAUUAUUCUUUGUGGUCUAUAUCUGUGUAGUGUGUGCAUUAAUGGUGGUUUCUCGUGAGUGAAAUCUGCUACAGCGAGGAUGAGGGAUCGUAUAUGGGUGAAGUAUGGUGAAUGGAAAAUAUUAGUGAGGGUGUCUGUGAGUAGAUGUUGGAGAAGAAGGUGAAUUCUUCUUCUUUUUUUCGUGUGCUGUGAGUGUGAGUCUUCAGUAAAGUAUGUAAUUGUGUAUAUGGUAGCUGUGGGUGUGUGUUCUGGUAAGAGUAAAAGAAUGAAAAAAUGGAGCCAUCAAGGAGUGUGUGAGCUGUUGGAAUGGUGAGGAAAUUGUCCGUUAAUGGUGAGGUUAAUAGUGUAUUGUGUGUUGGUUGCUGCGUGGCUAAGUAUAUCUAUGGAAUGGAAAUAGAAGAAUUAUUUUCUUUUCGAUGUUCUGUGUAUAAGUGUGUAUAUAUCCCCCAAAAUGGAGUGUGUGCAUUUAUAUAUUGAUGAUGAUGGAAUGGAAAAAUGAAGAGUGUCCCAUUUGUGAUAUGUGCAUAUGUAUAUAUCUGUCCUUUACUUUAGAUUCCCAAUUGUGGUCCCUCCUAGUUAUUGUUGUUGUUUCUUGGAAGUUUUCUCCAUGUAUAUUUUCCUUUGUGGCCAAGAAAAGAAGAAGGGGGAAGGGAGGGGUCACGUGGAUAUGGGGUGGUGGGGUAGGGGUGUGGGUGAGGUGUCUUCUUUUCAUUGAAAGGUUUGUUAGGAUGUUAAAAAGAAUAAAAGUUUGCUAGGGAUUUUGUUGAGAGUUAUAUUUUUUUUUAUUUUUGUGGGAUGUAAUUACAUGGUGAGGGUAUACGGUAGGAUAAGGUAAAGGUGGGUAGAAAGUGCUAUCGGAAAGGGACAAAAAUUACGUGUCUACAUCAUGCCCCCUUUGAAUGUAAGCACCUAGUGUUUUCAUACAAAGAAGUAGACAACGAGGAAGAAUUUUGUCCCGAUUAUUAUUCAAAGAAAGAAACAGAAAAAGAAGGACAAUCGAGUAUUGACGGACAUCCUACCUACGCAAGUUAUGACGGAAUCAAGUCACGGGUAUCUCAAAGGAUUGGAAAGAGAAGGACAAUAUCGAGUUGGAGAUUCGAGUGAGGUCCCGUCGAGGUUUCGGUUUGCGGCUCUGUUAUUACAUCAAAAAUGAAAAUUACAAGUUAAAACAUAAAUGAAAUUACAAAAAUUCUAAUCUAUGCAACUUUCCUUGACUUGAGUUUCAUCACCCUAUUCUUCAGGCGGGCUCCUGACUUGCACUUUCUUCAACUUGUAGCUUGCUUUUCAAUCUUUUCACCCUGUUCUCCAGGUGGGUUCCUGACUUUCUAUUUCAUCAACUUGUUGCUAUGCUUUUCAAUUUCUACACCCUGUUCUCCAGGCUGAUUCUUGACUUGCUAUUUCAUCAACUUGUUACUAUGCUUUCAAUUUUUUUUCCACCCUAUUCUGCAGGCGGGCUCCUGACUUGCUAUUUUUCAAUCUAUUUAACUUUCAAUUUCUUCACCUUGUUGCUUGGUUUUCCAUUUAUUCGACCUGUGCUUCGGGCAUGCUCCUGAAAUCACAUCAAAACUGAAAAGAAAAUUAUCCCAAAUAAAAAAAUGCAUUUUCUAUGAGUUAAUUGGAAUGACUCGACUAAAAGGUACUUCUUUUAGGAAUCAAGGGGGACGACUCGACUGAAAGGUAUGUCUUAUAGGAAUCCAGAGGGAUGACUUGACUAAAAGGUAAGUCUUAUAGGAAUCAAAGGGAAUGACUCGACUAAAAGGUACGUCUUCUAGGGGCCAAAGGGAAUGGCUCGACUAAAAGGUACAUCUUAUAGGAAUCAAGGGAAAUACUCGACUAAAAGAUAUGUCUUAUAGGAAUCAAAGGAAACGACUCGACUAAAAGGUACGUCUUCUAGGGGCCAAAGGGAAUGGCUCGACUAAAAGGUACAUCUUAUAGGAAUCAAAGGGGAUGACUCGACUAAAAGGUACGUCUUAUAGGAAUCAAAGGGGAUGACUCGACUAAAAGAUACGUCUUUUAGGAAUCAAGACUUAAGUUAGGAAGUGCAUUACCUAAGAAGAAAAAUUCGAAUUAUCCAAUCAAGGAAGUGUCUUUCCUUUAGGAAGUGCAUUACCUAAGAAGAAAAAUUCGAAUUAUCAAAUCAAGGAAGUGUCUUUCCUUAUCAAUGUUAUUUGAAUCAUCAAAACAAGAAAGUGCGUCUCUUAGAGAUCUUGAAUUAUGAGUUUUACCAUGGUUUUGAUUACCAAACCUGUGCAGCAACCUUGCCUCUUGCAUUUGUUGAGGUGACAAAUUACGGCCUUUGAUGUUUAGGCUCUGAAAUCCUUGAUCUUAAUGCAACAUGUAUUCCUAUUACAUACAAAUAAAACUUGUGAGUUUAAAAACAUGGUGGCUAGUUUGUGGCUUUGGCUUUUGAGGCAAUUGCUCCUGCCCCCGUCACAUUUAGCUUUGCUUCCAACCAUUAGCAUAUGUCAUUGACUUGCUGUAUCAUUGACUCAAACUCAGCUUAUUAAGAGUGACUCUGAAACAAACAUAGUAUUUCUGCUUUGUCGGGUUUCUCAAAUAAACCCUUUGAAUCUUGGUAUUUCCAUGAGUUUCCCGACUUCUCUGUUGACAAAACUUCCUGCAUGCCUUUUUUGGGCUCACAAUCAUGUCUCUUUCAUGUGCUAGUUUUUGUCUUGCUUUGUGCAAUUAAAGAAGCUGGUAGCCAGUUUUGAAAUCUUUUCUCACUUGUUUUGACACGGACUUGACUCAAAGACAAGAAACAAAAAAAAGAAUGACAAUUUUUGUUUUGAUAAAUGACUUAAGAAAGAUAAAAUUAAAAUAAAGAGAAGAAAGNNNNNNNNNNNNNNNNNNACAGUCAACACUAAUGAUUAUGCCAUGCAUUUUGGAUUAAGCAGCUUGAUCUUUUUAUCCAAACUUUCUACCCAUUGUUGUAGAGUUAAUAGCCUUGAAACUGAGUUGCUUUCUUAGGUCAAUUGCAUUUAAGACCCCAUUCGACUAGUGGCGCCUUGAAGGAUUUUCGCCAACAAGCUUCCUUUAUUUUCUCUCGGCUCACUAUCGCCUUAUGGUGCCCGUGAGGGUUUUCACCAAUAAGACUCUCUCAUUUUUAUUUCUCUCUUGAUUCCCUAUGCUGAGGAAGACAAAUAGUUCCCAAAUACAUCAUCAUAUCCCUUGCAUGCUCAGCUUUAACAUACUCAAAGAUUGAUCUGAAGGGCUUUCUUUGGUUGUAACUUGACUUUUGGAUAAGGUUAGAAAGAAAGGAUGGCAUGGGGCCCAAACGACACUUAAAGUGGGAUAGGACUUCCAACUUUUGGAAUCGACUCAAACAAUAAGGAUUAACUCAUGCCCCAGUUUUUUCUUACUGGGUGACUCUAAAUUAUUUAUUUGGUUGGACCGAGCCCUUAGUAGGGCAGCCUACGUAUCUCACCCCCCGAGAGGAGAAUCAGGUCAUGCGUAGUUCUGACAGCUUUUCUUUUCACUUAAUUCUAAGUUUUUUUGUUUUUUUUCCUUUUGUUGACUCUUUUCUCUUUGGGACUUUUCUGACUUUAUUUUUCUCGACGCUCNNNNNNNNNNNNNNNNNNNNNNNNNNNNNNNNNNNNNNNNNNNNNNNNNNNNNNNNNNNNNGAAAACGAAAGAUAAAGAUCAUUUGUGGCACUUUAACAACACUAACUUCAACUGAGCAUGUAUGUCACUUCUUUUUCUACACUUGUCAAACAUACAACUCCAUUUUUAUUGUACAUUCCUCAUGUUGAAGGACUCAUGACUUCGUGGAGUUGAUUUUCUUCCUGUUCCUUUUGACAUAGGAUCACACAUUCAUUACUUGACCUAAUUGAGAUAUGUCUUUCAAUUGAUGACCAAGUUAUUCUCACGAUUUUUAAAAUAAUAGCCUUAAUUUUCAAAGAAGGUUUCAACUUGAUCACCAAAUGCCCCAGCACUCUAUCUAUUUCCUCAGAUGCUCUCUUUUUCUAACUUUAAACCUCUGAUUCAAUGUUCAUUCUUAAAAUGGAUGUUAAGAUCUAGCUGUAAAUUUCACUAGCAUAUCAUAUCACUAGAGUCAACAUAAAAUGUACUAUUCAACAUAAAAUGUACUAUGUAAAAAAUAACACAUUUAAAACACAAAGAAAAAUGGGACACUCCAUUUAAUAAAAAAUGAAAGAUAGAAGGGUUUGAACAUAAACGACAAAGGGACAAAACAAAAUAGAUCCCGAACUACAAGCCUGAAAUAAUUUGAAAAACAGUAAAGAAGACAAAACAAACUACCAGGCCUCUUCCUAGUAGGGAGAUAGGUGAAUUCUCAAUUGCUCAACCUGACAACUUAGCCGCUGGUUUGCAUAUCAGCAUGACUAAAGCUUCCCUCACUAUCAAUGUUCUGCACAAUAAUUGAUCCAUCAUGAAUUAUCUUUUCAAUUUCUCUUUUCAAAUCUCUACAAUCUUCAAUACUAUGACUCUGAGCCUCAGAAUGAUACGCACAUCGUGUAUUUAGGAUCAAAAUUUCUUGAACGCCGAUUAAGGGUGUGCCCAAGAAGAGGAGUGAUCAUUCCUUCCUAUAUCAAUCUCUAAAAUAAACUGGCAUAUAACUCUUCAAUUGGUGUGAAGCUAUCUCUCGACUUCUGCCUCAUUUCAUUGUUUGGCUUGGAUAGAAAAUCUUGCUUAGAAGGGUUUUGGUAUGUUUAUGGAGUUAGAGGAUGACUCUGGGGCAUUGGGGUAUGCCAUUGUGGGUAAGAUGAGGGUUGAACAUGUGGUUGUGCAUUAUACACUGUAUAUGGAUGUGGAGGAACAGAGUAUAAUGGAUUUUGGGAGUGAUUAUGUGGAGCCUGGGCAUAAACUUGAGCUUGAGCCUGAGAUCGACGACGACGUGGUCUUCUUGACCUUUAUUGCUAUCCAACUAUAAUUGCAGAUGCAUCUUCCUCAUUCUUUUUCUCCCCAACACUUCCUGAACCCUUUUGAAUUACUUGAGUAGUCGCUUUUAAUGUUGCAAAACUCAUAAUGCGACCAGUAUUAAUUUCCUCUUCUAUCAUCUCCCCCAUUUUAAGGAACUCAAUGAACGGCUUGCCUAAUGCAGGUAACAAGUGUUGAUAAUAUGUUUCGUCCUGCGAUUGAAUAAACACCUCCACUAUUUUGCUUUCUUUCAUCGGCGGUUUUACUCUAGCAGCUUGUUUGCACCAUCUGAUCACAUACUCCCUGAAACACUCAGUAUUCUUCUUUGUUAUACUAGUUAGGGAUUUUUCGUCAGGGAUCAACUCUACAUUGUAUUAAAAUUAUUACACAAAUUCGUUACCUAGGUCAUCCCAACUAGUCUAUUUGUCAAUGUCUUGGUCAACAAACUAUUUUGAAGCUAAACCUGAAAGACUCUCACCGAAAUAUGCCAUGAGUAAUUCUUUCUUCCCUCCAGUGCCCCUUAGCUGGUUGCAAUAAUGUCUCAAAUGUGCUACAGGAUCGCCAUGUCCAUCAUACUUCUCAAACUUUGGCAUUUUAAAACCAAGAGGAAAAUGUACACCAGGAAACAUGCAUAGAUCUUUAUAUGAGACACUUUUGUACCCCGCAAGUCCUUGCAAGUUUUUCAUAGUCAGUUCCAAACUUCUCAAAUUUUUGGCUAUUUCCUCUUGUUCUUCUAUCAUAACAGGAUUCUCAGUGUUAGGAGGAAAUUCAGGCAGUUGAGAGCACUCGCAAGGAUCAGUCGACUUAAAUGUAGGCUCGAGAGCAUAAUGCUGAUCACUAAAAAUAUUCAAUGCAGUAUCUCUUGUAGAGUAGGGAGGCACAACUUGUGGAUGAACAUCAAAAGUAGGAGGUGGGGGUAGCGCCGCAAAAGCAUGAACAACAGCUGGAGCCGCGAGUAUGUGGUAGUCUUGGAUUGGGGAGUGAGGAAAUGAACAUUGGAAGUGGUUGUAUAUUGUUGCCCCAGAGUCGAUCCUGAUGCAUGUUGUGGCAUAUCAACAAAAAUGGGAAAUUGUGCAUGUGACACAGGAGGUAAGCUAGAAAGAUAUUCCAGAUUAUCAGUGGGAACUGGAGAAGGCGGCAACCUAUUAGCCCAAGCUUGAUGCAUUUCUAUUAUUUGCCGCUUUAAUUUCUGAAUCUCUUCAUUAUCUCCUACAUUCUCAUUCCCCGAAAUCCUUAUCUGAUUAGUGACAACUAACUCGGUAUCCUUGUUGGCCAUAACUUUCUCUGUGACUUGGAGCAAUAUGGAGGACCAGCCAAAAUGCCACAAACCAACCACCUUAAACUAAUUGGACAAGAGAUAGCAAAUGCGUUAAAGUUCAACAAUUUUUCAAAACCUCUUUUCUUUUUUGAAAAAAAAUCACCAAACCCUAGAAGGGCGCCUACGUAUCUCACUCCCAAAAGAGGAGAAUCAGGUGUGCGUAGUUUGUGAAGUUUUGCCAAAAUGGCCAAUUAAACUCUUUUUUAUUUCUUGAAACAAAGUGUCAAAAAAAUUGACAAAAUCUUUUUGCAUUUUUUUUAGGUUUAAAUCUCUAUACAAAAUGAAACCUGUGAUUACCAAAGAAAAAUCUUUUUGAGUUUUCAAUUUUUGAACUUCAUGUGAAAAUGAAACUUUAACCUAUUAAAGAAAAAUAUUUUUGUAGUUUUCUUUUAAAGACGUAUAUGAAAUGCCUACUCUAAAUGGAGAGUGAAGAAAUAUUUUUGGAUUUUUCAAAUAAGAUCCCCGAACCAACAAUAGGCUGCCUACGUAUCUCACUCCCGAAAGAGGAGAAUCAGGGGUGCGUAGUUCGUCAGAUUGAACAAUUAACGAUUAACUAAUAAAUUGACCCUAACUUAAGAGACACAACCAAAAACACACGAAUAAAAACUUUUUGGAUUUUCAACUAGACACUUCAACUAAGACUGACACCACCAAUUAUGAAGAAAAAUCUUUUUGGUAUUUUUGCUUUUGACAAAUAAGUAGAAAAGGCAAACAAAACCCUUUUUUUUUCUUUUUCUUUUUGUUGAACUUACGGUACUUUGAGAAGAUAAAUGCAAAACGUAAAAAAAAUCUUUUUGAGUUUUUGGAUCGUGAAGAACAAAAGUCAUAAAGAACUCUAAAAUAAAUUACGACACUCCUUUUGAUUCAUUCUUUUCGACUCACUUUUUCUAAUUUUUUUUCUUUUUUUUUCUUUUUCUUUUUUUUUUGCCUACGCACCUUACUCCUAACAAAUGUUUUUUUUUCAAAUCAGUCCGUCGAAUGACCACGUUACCCUUAAAGAUGCAACAGUUAGAAUGUAGGGAUGCUUUAGAGGUGAGUCUCCUACAAAGGGUCAUGUGGGUCCCGCUAGGUCUUAGUAUGAUGCACAUAAGUAUGACCUAAAGGCUGACCUACGUUGUGGUUUACUAACAAGGUUUUCGGGGGAGGCGUAUGGUCGAUAGUGGCUGAUUUGCUUUCCACCUACUCCAUAAAACCGACGGCUCCCCCCCUAAAAUAAGGGUGACUCAACUAGAGGUCGUGUACAACACGUGUACUACGAACUUGUUGCAGAAAGAAGGCCUGGGGGUAGACACAUGAUGCCAGAUAUAAAAACGGUAACAUAUAGGAUAAAUACUGUACCCAAAGAGCACAAAAAUGCACAACAGUGAUAACAAUAACACAAACAAUAAUCACAAACAAGGUUUAUAUACCCAUAAUGCCAAACAAAGCCGAUACGACUCCAAAAAUAAGACCGAAUUCUGAAAAGAUCCCCAGCAGAGUCGCCAGAGCUGUCACACCC